rnacentral:rRNA from 1 species
GAUGAACGCUGGCGGCGUGCCUAAUACAUGCAAGUCGAGCGAACGGACAAGAAGCUUGCUCCUCUGAUGUUAGCGGCGGACGGGUGAGUAACACGUGGAUAACCUACCUAUAAGACUGGGAUAACUUCGGGAAACCGUAGCUAAUACCGGAUAAUAUUUUGAACCGCAUGGUUCAAAAGUGAAAGACGGUCUUGCUGUCACUUAUAGAUGGAUCCGCGCUGCAUUAGCUAGUUGGUAAGGUAACGGCUUACCAAGGCAACGAUGCAUAGCCGACCUGAGAGGGUGAUCGGCCACACUGGAACUGAGACACGGUCCAGACUCCUACGGGAGGCAGCAGUAGGGAAUCUUCCGCAAUGGGCGAAAGCCUGACGGAGCAACGCCGCGUGAGUGAUGAAGGUCUUCGGAUCGUAAAACUCUGUUAUUAGGGAAGAACAUAUGUGUAAGUAACUGUGCACAUCUUGACGGUACCUAAUCAGAAAGCCACGGCUAACUACGUG